GGAUAAUCGCGUGUCGUUCCCUAGUGUUAUCCCAGCAGGGGGAGCGCGUGGCACUGAGCAGGCACUCAGUGAAAUAAGGCAUCAGUGGGAAAGAGUAUCAUGCAAAUGAAUUUAUCAGUUGAGCAAAUGAAUGGAGUAAAUGAAUGAUGCGCCCUGGGACCCAGGCACCAUCUCAGACAUUGCCAGCAGCCUUGGCAAAGAAAAAGAGAACGAGAAACAGCACCCUGGAAGUGAAAUGCUCCGACCAGAAGUGGCCCUCAGGUCUGCUCCCUUGGGACGAGGCCCCCUGGAGGCAGGUGGUGCACAUGCACCUGGCAGAGCUGGAAACCAGUGGUCAAUGGCACUGAGGACUGCCUGCCCACACCCUCACCGUGGGCCAGGGAUUGAUCUGCAAUCAUAAUGCAGUCUUAAUGUCUGCCUCAGAACCCCUGGACCCACCCCCACCUCCACCCAACAGAGUUUACCCCUCAGGGUCAGUCUGCAUUUUUAACAGACUUCCCCAGGAUCCACAUGUGCACCAGUAUUCCAAACAUGGGGAUUCUUUGAAUCUUCUAAGCAAGAAAAAUACAGGCCCUCCCACACCCCAGUAGAGAGGUGGGGAGCCUGGCAGCAUUCAAGGAAGUCUUCCCAGUGGUGGCAAUGCCCCAGUGGAGUCCUGGAGCAUCCAAGAUGGAUGCUGGGCCUGGGGCUGGAGGACAUGAGGCAUCAGGGGACUUGACAGGAGAUCAGUCUGGAAAGCUUUUAGGGCGUUUGAGGACGUGACGGGAUGCUGGCUUGGGAAUUCUGACCAUGUGAGACCAGAGACACCCACAGGAUGGGCAGACCCAGAAACAGGCAGUGAGAGGAGCCAGCGCUAGAGAGGAGGAACCGGUCAGAGCAAACACAACCAGGCAAUACAUCCAAAAAGUCCACAGACGUAGAGUCUUGCAGACCUUCGGCUCAGUCAUUCAGACACAGCACAGCAGGGAUGGCCGCCCACCUCUUCUCUGCCAUGUCUGCUUAAAACACCAUGACUAACAUAGUUGUUCACUAUGGCAUAUGGCAUAUACCCGCUAAAGAGGAGCAGCGUCAUGGAGUCACCUUUCUGCACAGAAGUCUCUGGGCCUUUCUGUCAUUAUAGCACAAGUCACUGCAAGUAUUCGUGAAUAAGUGUCCAGGAAGAAAAGACUUCCACCAGUCACCCCAGACAAAGAGCUGUCAUUGGGGAGACUGUCUGGUAGCAGGAGGCGGAGGCAGAGGCAGCUCCGGGCAGUUGGCUGUUCCCAGAAGGCCACACGCUGCUCUUGACUUGGCUUCUUCCAGCCCUAUUGCCUGCUGGCUGGCACCUGCCCCCUUGUGUUGUCUGCCCCUCAUCACUGGCAUUCUUCAAGUUUAUACGUGGGACGCCUACCACAGCAUGGCUGCCAAGCAGUGCCGUGUCCGCACCCGGGAUCCGAACCAGCGAACCCCGGGCCGCCGAGAAGCGGAACGUGCGAACUUAACCGCUGCGCCACCGGGCCGGCCCCAUCACCUGGAAAAUUUGAAAGGAGAUUCCUACUACUUUAAAAGUACAUCUCAUUUCUGGAUCUACUUGCCGUGAAUUAAUAUCUUUUUAUUAAACCUUAUAUUAUCUCAUGAAAAGUGUGAUCAUAUUGCAUUUUUUGCUACUUUCGUUAAAGGUAUUAAUGUAGACACUGAAAAUACACCACAGAUUUUGUAAUCCUGC
ensembl:lncRNA